UGAGAACGUUAUAAUUUACCGUCUCUUAUGAUCAUAACAAACCAGUUGAGUAGGUAAAAGGUAGUAAGACCUUGCGUGUGCGCGUGCAUGUUGAGAAGUCGGUUUUCACAGGUCGGGAGCCUCACAUUAGUUACAGAAGGAAACCACGUCGUAUAUUAUAGUUUGAGAAAAUAUUCUACGUGGACUAUGUUCGUACGAGCAUCAGCGGGGAAUGUUAACACGGUGUAAGAAGAAGAGGAGGAAGAAGCAGCCAUUCGGGAAAAUUUACUUCUAACGCGGAACGCACGAACCGGCACCAUUGCUCGUACGCGCGGCUGACGGACUCGAUAGGGCCUCUUUCGCCCGUGUCCACGGAGAGAAUGAAAAGGAGACGACGGAGCCGAAGGAAACGAGAAGAACCAAAGAUGCGUGCCGCGGUGGCCGAUGCAGCGGCGGUGGCGCGUUUGCCGGCGUGAGGCGAAGAGAUUUGCAAAAAAAAAAAAAAAAAAAGAAAAAAAGAAAGACACGAGUGACGAGAGGGGAAAAAAACUAUUCUGCGACACCGUCACAAUCUUGGCGACACGAUUUUUCUCACUUCCCCUCCGCCCCCCACCACCCCAUCGAAAGGGCGUGGAUAUUUGAAGUUUCGCAGGUGUUGGCCUCCUUCGUUUUCGGACCGAGGGCCUUUUAUCCCUGCCACCGAGUGCCCAUUCACGACCAUUCCAAAGAGACGCGCGCGCCGACUGGCCGACAUAUAAUAAAGAAGACAGACAUUUGCCUCGCUUCGUUCCUCUCUGAACGGGAGAAUAGAAAAGGAAAGAAGUAAAGAAGAAAAGGUGAAAAGGAGCGGCGUAGGUAGGUAGACAGAGAGAGAAAGAGAGACAGAGAGAGAGACAGAGAUAGGAACCAGGUUGAUAGAGUGCGAAAGAGAAGAAAGAAGAAGAGAACGAGUGAGAGAGAGAGAGAGAGAGAGAGAGCGAAGGGCACUGAAGAAAACGAGGGUGGAGGGGGGAGGGGGGGGGGAAGAGCAGCGCGAAAGAAGAGAGGGAGAAGAAGAGGCGCGUGGUGGUCGUGGUCGCGGCGGCGAGGAGUAGUGGACGGAGGAGAGCGAGCAGAGCAUCCAGAUCUGUCGCGUGCUGCGUCGCUCUGGGAUGGGACGGAAUCGGGACGACACGGUACGAAGCGGAACGGGACGAGACGAGACGAAACGGGACGAAACGGGACGACGGCUACCACUACGGGCGCGAGCAGAUUCACGGACGUAGGUGCACAAGUCAAACGGACUCACGAACGAACGCAAGAGCAAGAGCAAGAGCACGAGCACGAGCACGAGUACGAGAACAGGGGACGACGGGAUGGGAUGGAGGUUGCGGGCCCGUGUGAGUAGCGAGUCGAGUCGAGUCGAGUCGAUUCCCCGGCGCGCUGGUAUUGGUUUCACUCUCGGCUGCCGCCGGCCCGUGUGCUGGUGUGUCGAUCUCUCUACGAGAGCGAACCGAGGAGCGUGCCCGAACCGAGUCGGAGAAGAGAACCGCCAGCAUUCGUUCAGUAGUUUCUCGGACGCCGCACUGGCACCAUCCGACCUAUCGGAUAACCCCGCUGAUUUCGCCGGGGGCUACCCCCGUAACGUAACGUGACAAUAACCGUGUGGUUGUCGAUCACGCACGUACGUAGGAUCCUUCAAGGUUCGAAGCUAACCGACCUAUAGGAAGAAGAAAAAAAAAAAAGA